rnacentral:rRNA from 1 species
GGCGGGACUACCCGCUGAGUUUAAGCAUAUAAAUAAGCGGAGGAGAAGAAACUUACAAGGAUUCCCCUAGUAACGGCGAGCGAACCGGGAGCAGCCCAGCCUGAGAAUCGGGCGGUUGUGCCGUCCGAAUUGUAGUCUGGAGAGGCGUCCUCAGCGACGGACCGGGCCCAAGUCCCCUGGAAAGGGGCGCCUGGGAGGGUGAGAGCCCCGUCCGGCCCGGACCCUGUCGCCCCACGAGGCGCCGUCAACGAGUCGGGUUGUUUGGGAAUGCAGCCCCAAUCGGGCGGUAGAAUCCGUCCAAGGCUAAAUACAGGCGAGAGACCGAUAGCGAACAAGUACCGCGAGGGAAAGAUGAAAAGGACUUUGAAAAGAGAGUCAAAGAGUGCUUGAAAUUGCCGGGAGGGAAGCGGAUGGGGGCCGGCGAUGCGCCCCGGCCGUAUGCGGAACGGCUCUUGCUGGUCCGCCGCUCGGCUCGGGGUGUGGACUGUUGUCGGCCGCGCCGGCGGCCAAAGCCCGGGGGCCUUAGGUGCCCCCGGUGGCCGUCGUCGGCACGGC